ensembl:misc_RNA Metazoa_SRP Metazoan signal recognition particle RNA
GCCGGGUGUAGUGGUGCAUGCCUGUAAUCCCAGCUACUCGGGAGGCUGAGGCAGGAGAAUCGCUUGAACCCAGGAGGUGGAGGUUGCAGUGAGCUGAGAUUGUGCCACUGCAGUCCAGCCUGGGCAACAGAGUGAGACUCUGUCUCAC